rnacentral:rRNA from 1 species
GGAUGAACGCUAGCUACAGGCUUAACACAUGCAAGUCGAGGGGCAGCAUGGUCUUAGCUUGCUAAGGCCGAUGGCGACCGGCGCACGGGUGAGUAACACGUAUCCAACCUGCCGUCUACUCUUGGACAGCCUUCUGAAAGGAAGAUUAAUACAAGAUGGCAUCAUGAGUCCGCAUGUUCACAUGAUUAAAGGUAUUCCGGUAGACGAUGGGGAUGCGUUCCAUUAGAUAGUAGGCGGGGUAACGGCCCACCUAGUCUUCGAUGGAUAGGGGUUCUGAGAGGAAGGUCCCCCACAUUGGAACUGAGACACGGUCCAAACUCCUACGGGAGGCAGCAGUGAGGAAUAUUGGCCAAUGGGCGAGAGCCUGAACCAGCCAAGUAGCGUGAAGGAUGACUGCCCUAUGGGUUGUAAACUUCUUUUAUAAAGGAAUAAAGUCGGGUAUGCAUACCCGUUUGCAUGUACUUUAUGAAUAAGGAUCGGCUAACUCCGUGCCAGCAGCCGCGGUAAUACGGAGGAUCCGAGCGUUAUCCGGAUUUAUUGGGUUUAAAGGGAGCGUAGAUGGAUGUUUAAGUCAGUUGUGAAAGUUUGCGGCUCAACCGUAAAAUUGCAGUUGAUACUGGAUAUCUUGAGUGCAGUUGAGGCAGGCGGAAUUCGUGGUGUAGCGGUGAAAUGCUUAGAUAUCACGAAGAACUCCGAUUGCGAAGGCAGCCUGCUAAGCUGCAACUGACAUUGAGGCUCGAAAGUGUGGGUAUCAAACAGGAUUAGAUACCCUGGUAGUCCACACGGUAAACGAUGAAUACUCGCUGUUUGCGAUAUACGGCAAGCGGCCAAGCGAAAGCGUUAUGUAUUCCACCUGGGGAGUAGGCCGGCAACGGUGAAAAUCAAAGGAAUCGACGGGGGUCCGCACAAGCGGAGGAACAUGUGGCUUAAUUCGAUGAUACUCGAGGAACCUUACCCGGGCUUAAAUCGCAGAUGAAUUACGGCGAAAGCCGUAAGCCGCAAGG